AGGUACUUAUUCAAGUUAUGGUAGACUGGAAGUAUAUUGUAAUCGACAGUGGGGUACAGUAUGUGAUCAUAGCUUUGGUUUCAUUGAUGCUAGAGUUGCCUGCCAUCAGUUAGGAUACAGUGAUUACAGUACAUAUACUGGAAACCUUGCUGGGUCUAGCUCUCAACCUAUUUGGCUGGACAGUGUUUCUUGCAGCAGUUCAUACACUUGUCUUGCUACUUGUGAAUCUUGUCCUUCUUCAGAAUAUCAUAACUGUAGACACAGUGAAGAUGUUGCUUUGGGAUGUGAAUUUGACACCUCUCGAACUCCUCCAAGUAACACAAUAGGGUCCUGUCGAUAUAGUAAGAGUGAUUGAAUGUACUGAUAGUAUUAGUGACAAAAAUUUCAU